UACGGAGGGUGCGAGCGUUGUCCGGAAUCACUGGGCGUAAAGGGCGCGUAGGCGGCCAACUAAGUUCAGACGUGAAAUCCCUCGGCUUAACCGGGGAACUGCGUCUGAUACUGGAUGGCUUGAGUUUGGGAGAGGGACGCGGAAUUCCAGGUGUAGCGGUGAAAUGCGUAGAUAUCAGGAGGAACACCGGUGGCGAAGGCGGCUCUCUGGACCACAACUGACGCUGAGGCGCGAAAGCUAGGGGAGCAAACAGG
rnacentral:rRNA from 1 species